UAACUACUCCUCAGUCCCAUAAUUCUUGUCGAAAUAUUACAUGUAUCUAGACGCUUUUUAGGAAUAGAUACAUCCAUUUUUGGACAAAUUUGAGACAAGAAUUAUGGAACGGAGGGAGUAAUAA
rnacentral:pre_miRNA from 1 species